rnacentral:rRNA from 1 species
GAUGAACGCUGGCGGCGUGCCUAAUACAUGCAAGUCGAGCGAACGGACGAGAAGCUUGCUUUUCUGAUGUUAGCGGCGGACGGGUGAGUAACACGUGGAUAACCUACCUAUAAGACUGGGAUAACUUCGGGAAACCGGAGCUAAUACCGGAUAAUAUUUUGAACCGCAUGGUUCAAAAGUGAAAGACGGUCUUGCUGUCACUUAUAGAUGGAUCCGCGCUGCAUUAGCUAGUUGGUAAGGUAACGGCUUACCAAGGCAACGAUGCAUAGCCGACCUGAGAGGGGGAUCGGCCACACGGGAACUGAGACACGGUCCAGACGCCUACGGGAGGCAGCAGUAGGGAAUCUUCCGCAAUGGGCGAAAGCCUGACGGAGCAACGCCGCGUGAGUGAUGAAGGUCUUCGGAUCGUAAAACUCUGUUAUUAGGGAAGAACAUAUGUGUAAGUAACUGUGCACAUCUUGACGGUACCUAAUCAGAAAGCCACGGCUAACUACGUG